UGUGUGUGUGUGUGUGUGUGUGUGUACAAGCCCACAUGGGGCACAGCACACAUGUAGAAGUCAGAGGACAACUUGUGGAAGUCAGUUCUCUCCUUCUGCAAGGCAUGCUAUCUCUAUUUGAUUCAGUUUGGCCUUGCAGUCAUAUUCCAUUGCUACAGAUCAGCUCCCAACUGAUUAUCCGGUCUACUAUUGUGUGAGUCAGGUGCUGAGAACUCCUCUGUGCUUUUGACUGAAAGAAUCAGAGAUGGGUCUCACUAUGCAGCCAACAACAUCUGCAAACCUGGAGCAACUCUGCCUCAGCUUCCAGAGUUCUGGGAUUCGAGCAAUGGAUGACAGUGGCUUCACUGUUUCCCAGUGAUUGGGAUGGGCCACUGAAUAAAGUGCUCCCAGAUUAUGGCUUCAUAUGGAAUUGAGCAGAAAGAGUGACCUCUGCCUUUGACGACACUCAAGUGGCAUAGGAAUCUAC
rnacentral:lncRNA from 1 species